GGGAAAACAUGCUCUCCGGCUCAAAGCUCAGCCCCAGGGCUUCUUAGCGCCUCAGUUUCCAGCGUUACACAGCACAGCCGCAGAAUUCCAUGCUGUUGCCUUUCUUGCCUCAUCGGUUUCUACUAUUAAUACUAUUCUCAAUCUUACAUCAACUUUGACCUUCUCUGGCCCACAUUAUGGAUGGAUGGCUGUUUUAUCUUCGCAGCCCGAGUGCAAGAAGAAGGCAACUAAAUCUGAUUGUCUUCAAAGGUUUUAGGUUGAAGCUCUGGAAGAAUAAAAUCACUCCAAAAGCUGAGAUUACCAAAG